CAGGCUGGCUGUUAUGAAUUCUGCUGGAGCAGCCCAUUGCAUUUUGGCAAGAGCAUCCACUUGGGGUGAGCCCUGUAUUAGCAUUUUAAUUGCUGUCUGAUUGCUUUCCUGUUGCCAGACUCAGCCCACAAAGGUACAGCCAGCAAGUUUCAAUUAGUUCUUAUCCUGUGAUUUACGGGGUCUAUAAAGAGCAUCUCCCUGUAGCACUUGGAAAGUAAUACCCUUAAUGUACUAAAAGCAAUAUAGAACAUUAAAGCAAAAGAAUCGGCUGUACGAAGGUGUGGGUACCCAGCGGUGCUGGGAAAGGUCCUAUUUGAAGGAUGGCUUUCUUGGUUGGCUUCUCACUGAAAUAAAAUGAGACACAAAAUCCAAAGAUCCUCUGAAUCCCACACUAAGCAUUGUCUCCUUAAUGUGAAGGCAUUAGUCAACUCUUCCCCUUUGGUAUGUUUUAUUUUCUGGGACAGCUAGUUCAUCAGAAUGACAUGCACCUGCGGUGUGGAUUUCUUUCUUUUUAUUUUUUAAUUUUUUUAUUUUUUAUUACUUAUUUUCCUCAAUUACAUUUCCAAUGCUAUCCCAAAAGUCCCCCCACCCCCCGCUCCCCUACCCACCCAUUCCCAUUUUUUGGCCCUGGCAUUCCCCUGUACUGGGGCAUAUAAAGACACCAAGUGGGCGGAACAGUAGUGCCAUGGACUGCGAAGGAAGAAGAGUAUGAAGAAGAGCGGCUGCUGGCUUCCUAGGCCCGUCCUCCAGCUUCUGGAACUUCAAGGGAUUUGACUUGAUUACAGGAAGUCCCAGCAAUUGCAAAAAGAUGAAAUUGUUGUCACCAUCCUACACACUGCCACUGAAUUCUUUUCUGAACACCAGUCCUGCUACUAACCCCCCAGUGUUUGCAGACUCUCUGGCAUGCAGUCUCUGUUUUGAGACCUUCAAGGAGGAACUGUGCACAGUGAAUCUUUGUGUUCCCAGAACUUACACCACUUGUGCAUAAGAGCCGGCCUGAUGCUGAAGGCCAUCUUCAUGUUAUAAAGUUGCUAGGUUCAGAGCUGGGGCCAUGGCAGCCCUAAGUAGUCAGACUCAGCCAUCAACUUCAG
rnacentral:lncRNA from 1 species